GCUACCACCAUAUGUAUAGGUAAUUCAUAAGAAGAGGUGAAGGUUUCUCCCAGCCAGUGCUCACUGCCGUACCACAGCAGCGGUGUGCAGUAGAAUCACAUUCCACAAGAAAAGUUAGCGAGAAGGUCAGAUCCAUCCAUCUGCAUGGCAAUAGUCAGUGGGACGAUGGAUGUCCUCCUCCCUAAGCUGGCCGAGUUGCUUACCGAUGAGUUCAAGCUACACAAGGGGCUCAAGGAGGAGAUUGCAUCCCUUAGCCGCGAGCUGGAGAGCAUGCAGGCGGCGCUGGUGAAGAUAUCGGAGGUGCCGGUCGGGCAGCUCGACGGGCAGGUCAAGGUGUGGUCGAGGGAGGUGAGGGAGAUGUCCUACGACAUCGAGGACAGCAUCGACACCUUCACGGUCCGUUUUGGGGCUGCCCAAGAGCCCCCCGAGCCGCUUGGCUUGAUCAAGGGGUUCAUGGACAGGGUGAGGAGCCUGUGGGCAACCGCGUUGACUCGCCGCCAGAUCGCCGGCGAGAUCCACCGCAUCAAAGGCGAAGUGGAGGAGGUUAGCCAACGGCGCAAGAGAUACAAGCUCGACGAUGAUCUUGUCAGGCCAUCUGCCGCGACGACCAUCGAUCCUCGUCUGCCGGCCCUGUACGAGGAUGCGUCCAGGCUUGUUGGCAUGGAAAGGCCAACAGGAGAUCUAGUCAAGUGGUUGAAGGAGGGGGAGGGCGCAUCAAAGCGGCAGCUCAAGGUGCUGUCCAUCGUCGGAGUCGGCGGCCUGGGCAAGACGACCGUAGCCAACACGGUGUUCCACAUGCUAGAAGGGCAGUUCCAGUGCCGGGCUUUUGUCUCGGUGUCCCUUACACCGGACGUAAAGAAGAUAUUUCGCAGCAUAAUUCGCCAGGUAAGUGGAGAAGAUUGCACCAACGGUGAAGAUUGGGAUGUUAAGGAACUUGUGGAUCAUAUCCGAAAUUUUCUCAAGGACAAGAGAGGAGCCGGGCUGGUAUUUGCACAAGGAGCUCUGCAGGGACUUCAAAGGCUCAGGUUUGAUUUUGGAGUGCGGGAAACAAAAGAUCUGUAUGGUGAUUUUGAAUUUGGAUUGGAGAAUCUGUCUUCAGUUAAGCGUGUCCGCAUUGAUAUUGAUUGUGAUGGUGCCUGGGUUUCGGAGGUGGAAGCUCUGGAGAUUCUGAUCAAGAAGACAACCAAUGUGUAUGCCCCUAUUCUAAAUAUAAGCAGGCGUCUUGAAGAAGACAUGCUAAAACAUGAAGACAUUGGACUGGCAAACAAAAAGGAAGAGAAUUGGCCCGCCAAGAAUGGGCCUUGGGGUGGAAAUGGUGGUAGGGCUCGCGACAUCAAGGUGGCACCGCAAAGCCUGGAAAGUGUGACGAUUCGCAGUGGUUCAGUUGUUGAUUCACUCGCUUUCUCUUUCAAGGACGGAAAUGGCCGGCACCACACUGCAGGCCCGUGGGGCAGUGAUGGUGGGAGCGGCAAGACGAUUAAGCUUGGUCCUACAGAGUUUGUGACUGAAGUUUCGGGAACAUUCGGUUCAUUUGGUGCGUUGUCCAAUGUUUUGACAUCGCUCACUUUGGUCACUAACUGCAGCAGCUAUGGGCCUUUUGGAAAAAGACAAGGAAGUCCUUUCAAAACUACGAUGCAGAGUAAUAGCAGCAUUGUCGGCUUCUUUGGUAGGGCUGGCCAAUUUGUUGAUGCAAUUGGUGUUUAUGUGCUUCCAUUCCCAGUCUAGCUUCGGCUGGGUGCCUUCCGAAAGAUUUCAAAGAGGCCUGGAGCUAAUCUUUCCAUUACCAUAGCAAAUAGCCAAGUGGUUCGUGCACAUGCUCAGGCAAGAUUUUUAAAUGUGAGACUGCUUCAGCCAAUCAACUUCUGGGCCUACUGAGGCAACAAUCAUGUGACAUAUGUGGUAAGCAACUCAAGUUAAUUCAAAAAUAAAAAAACAAUCAUGUGUACGUAUACAAGUCUAAUAUAGUUCACAUUGUCCUGUUUCCUUUUAUACCAAAAAACUGAUAAUAUUUGUUUUGUUUUGUACUUUGGGUCCACGAGUUGUGCCGUGGGACCAUUCUUGCCCGUCAUGAAGUUGAGCAGAAAUGAAGUUGAAGGGAAAUUGCCCCCGCAAAAAAAAAGGGAAAUUUGUCAACCAGUCGGCAUCCGUGUGUAUAUCUUUCCCUUUUUGAGGGAAAACAUUGCAGGUUCAUUCAAACAUUCAUGUUACGUUCCCAAGACAUCACCGACCUAACGGAAAGUGUUGGCACCUGAAGCCAUGUCUUGCAAAUUUUAUUCCUGCAACCUUCCGUGACUAGUAUUUUCUUUACCCCGAAACUGUAGAACAAUUGUUCUAAGAUAUUUUAUAUUUAUAAUGUACAAAGUAUUUAUACUACAUUGCCAAAAGGUCAUUACCUAAGCGGGCUGCCUCCUCCCCAUGAAAAUUCUAGGGUUCUCCUACCUCCUGUCGGCGCCGCCGUCGGUCCGCCUCGUCUCCGGUGGCCUUAGGGCCAUGGAGGCACGGUGGAUUUCGGCCCUUACUGAUGGGAGGGCCGGCAAGGCUCUGUUUGCAGUUGUUUCUUCGCGUUUUGUUAGGGUUUGUGUCCUGCUCAGGAAGACGAGACGACGGUGGCUCCCUGACGAUGGAAUAGGGUUCUCCCCGCAGCCCCCCGUCCGGAUGGUGUGCCUAGAUCAUCGGUGGGCGUGUGGAGGUGUGUCUCCGGUUGAUCGGUCCUUGGUGGAUUUGCUCAAAUAUGGUCGUAGUUCGGCUAUGUUCAUGUGUUUUCAGGUUGGAUCCUUCUUACCUACGCUACUCUUCAUCAGCGGCGGUUGCUGUUCUGCUACACUGGUCCUAUGGGGCCUUAACACGACGACUUUCUGACUGUCUACUACAACAAGUUUUGCUCGGCUUCGGCGAGGAAGGGGCAAUGACGGUGGCGCGCCUUCGGCUCGCUUCAGUGUUUGUACUCGU